GAAGCUGGAAUUGCUGUAAUGGCAGGUCAGCAUACUGCCGUGAAUACGUUCCCGGGCCUUGUACACACCGCCCGUCACACCAUGAGAGUUGGGAAUACCCGAAGCCUGUGAGCUAACUUAUAGAGGCAGCAGUCGAAGGUAGAAUCAAUGAUUGGGGUGAAGUCGUAACAAGGUAAC
rnacentral:rRNA from 1 species